rnacentral:rRNA from 1 species
CAGCAGUCGCCACGGUAAAACAGAGGGUGCGAGCGUUAAUCGGAUUUACUGGGCGUAAAGCGUGCGUAGGCGGCUUCUUAAGUCGGAUGUGAAAUCCCUGAGCUUAACUUAGGAAUUGCAUUCGAUACUGGGAAGCUAGAGUAUGGGAGAGGAUGGUAGAAUUCCAGGUGUAGCGGUGAAAUGCGUAGAGAUCUGGAGGAAUACCGAUGGCGAAGGCAGCCAUCUGGCCUAAUACUGACGCUGAGGUACGAAAGCAUGGGGAGCAAACAGGAUUAGAUACCCCAGUAGUCCCUGUCUCUUAUAA